rnacentral:lncRNA from 1 species
GGCCUUUAAUCCACAUACAGAGAUAUAUUGUUGUGUCUUUGCUUCUCUGACAAAUUGUUGGUCAAACCUGUGGUUUACUUUUCACUACUUUGUUCUUCUAGAACAAUCUUGAAAUGUAACUCUCAAAUAUACUACUUACCCUGUGAGAAAAUGAGGUUUGCUGUCUGAUGGUCUGCCUUCUAGAAACUUUUAGAUUAAAAAGUAGCCACUGCUGGCAUUUGAACUGGUCAAGGGCAGGCCCCCAGUACCGAUAAAAGACAAAAGUCCGUGGUCAAGGGGAGCCUUAGAAGGGAACAGGGACUGUCUGGCGUACCCACUACCAUAAACCUUCAUUCAGCAGCAGAGCAGGGGUUAAGAACCGGCUGCACAGCAGCAACAGAGAAGGAAAUGGCAACCCACUCCAGUAUUCUUGCCUGGAGAGUCCUGNNNNNNNNNNNNNNNNNNNNNNNNNNNNNNNNNNNNNNNNACAGAGUCAGACACGACUGAAGCGACUUAGCAGCAGCAGCAGCAACACAGCCGAAGGUGAGCAGCUGGUGAGUAGCUUCAUCUGUAUUUGUGCUGUUACCCAUCGCUCACAUUAACACCUGAGCUCCACCUCCUGUCAGUCCAGCAGUGGCAUUAGAUUCUCAUAGCGUAAACCCUACUGUGGACUGCGUGCAAGGGAUCUAGGCUGCACACUCCUUAUGAGAAUCUAAUGCCUGAUGAUCUGAUUCUACAUUAUAGUGAGUUGUAUAAUUACUUAAUUAUAUAUCACAUGUAAUAAGAGUAGAAAUAAAAUGCACAAUAAAUGUAAUGUGCUUGAAUCAUCCUGAAACUAUCCCCCCGUUCCUCAGCCAUCCAUGAAAAAACUCUCUUCCAUGAAACCAGUCGCUGGUGCCAAAAAGACUGGGGACCACUGGAGUCGAGACCUCUAGACUAGAGUGGUACAUCCACGUAUUGGGAAUCUGUCACAGUUACCCAGAACAGGGCUGACAUACCAUGGUCCCCCUCUCUUUCCUUCAUCCGCUGAUGAGUGUCCUCUACAUGCUGGGUGUGUGCUGGGCCUCAGGGGCACAAAUCCACUAAGCAGUGGCCUUUACCUUCUGUUUUCUUCUAGUGUAAUGGGAUAGGCACACAGAUACACAAAUCAGAUGCUGUAAUUCAGAACGAAAGAUGCUAAAACAGAGUCAUGGUG